UUAGAUACCCUAUUAUCCUAGGAUAACUUUCCUUAAGGUAGUAGUUGCUAUAAGCUUGAAACCUAAAGAAUUUGGCGGUGUUUAAUUAAAUCAGAGGAGCCUGUUUAUUAAUAGAUAAUCCACUUUAUAUCUUUCUUUGACUUAGUUUGUAUACCGUCAUCUAUAUUAAUUUUUUUAGAAAUUAAUUAUUUGGUACCACAUCAAAGUUAGAUCAAGGUGCAGCUUUUUAAAGGUUAAAAUGGGUUACAAUUAAUAUCAGAGUGGAGAUAUUUUGACAAAUGAAUUAAAAUAGGAUUUGAAAGUAAUUUUAGUUUAGUAAGCUGAGAUGAGUGUUCCUAAAACAUGCACACAUCGCCCGUCGCUCUU
rnacentral:rRNA from 1 species